CAUGCCUCAACUUGUAAGUCGCUCUGGAUAAGAGCGUCUGCUAAAUGACGUAAA
rfam:Salmo salar isolate Sally breed double haploid chromosome ssa07, whole genome shotgun sequence.